ensembl:rRNA 5S_rRNA 5S ribosomal RNA
UGCCACAGCCAUAUCAGCCUGCAAGCCAAGACCGGUUACUCACUGAAGCUAAGCAGGGCUGGGCCUGGUCAGUAUCUGCAUGGGAAACCACAUGGGAAAAUUAGGUUGCUGAUGGAA